UACGUAGGCAGCAAGCGUUUGUUCGGAGUUACUGGGCGUAAAGAGUGCGUAGGCGGUUUCGUAAGUUUGGUGUGAAAUCUCCCGGCUUAACUGGGAGGGUGCGCCGAAAACUGCGGGGCUGGAGUGUGGGAGAGGUAAGCGGAAUUCCUGGUGUAGGCGGUGAAUGCGUAGAUAUCAGGAGGAACACCGGCGGUGUAGACGGCUUACUGGACCAUGACUGACGCUGAGGCACGAAAGCGUGGGGAGCAAACAG
rnacentral:rRNA from 1 species